CGAGCGGCAGCGAGUUUCUCCUGUUUGCUUCUCAUCUUUCGAUUUUGAAAUCUGAAAUUUCUAUGGAAAAUUCUGUAUAUUCAUCGAGAGAGGUAAGAGGAGUGAAGAGUGAGAAAUGUCGGCGAGCGGCGGACGGCUGAGUAACGCGUGGGAACGUGCCCCAAAGUGAGGGAUAAGCCAAGGAAACUUGGUCUAAUACCGCAUAUGAUCUUCGGAUUAAAGGAUUUAUCCGCUUUGGGAGCGGCCCGCGUCGGAUUAGAUAGUUGGUGAGGUAAUGGCUCACCAAGUCUACGAUCCGUAGCUGGUCUGAGAGGAUGACCAGCCAGACUGGAACUGAGACACGGUCCAGACUCCUACGGGAGGCAGCAGUGAGGAAUCUUCCACAAUGGGCGAAAGCCUGAUGGAGCAACGCCGCGUGCAGGAUGAAGGCUUUCGGGUCGUAAACUGCUUUUAUAAGUGAAGAAUAUGACUGUAACUUAUGAAUAAGGAUCGGCUAACUACGUGCCAGCAGCCGCGGUCAUACGUAGGAUCCGAGCGUUAUCCGGAGUGACUGGGCGUAAAGAGUUGCGUAGGUGGUUAUACAAGCGAAUAGUGAAAUCUGGCGGCUCAACCGUACAGGCUAUUAUUCGAACUGUAUAACUCGAGAAUGGUAGAGGUAACUGGAAUUUCUUGUGUAGGAGUGAAAUCCGUAGAUAUAAGAAGGAACACCAAUGGCGUAGGCAGGUUACUGGACCAUUUCUGACACUGAGGCACGAAAGCGUGGGGAGCGAACCGGAUUAGAUACCCGGGUAGUCCACGCCGUANACGAUGGAUACUAGCUGUUGGAGGUNUCGACCCCUUCAGUAGCGA
rnacentral:rRNA from 1 species